rnacentral:rRNA from 1 species
GGACUACCCGGGUAUCUAAUCCCGUUUGCUCCCCUGGCUUUCGCGCCUCAGCGUCAGAUGAGGUCCAGCAGGGCGCUUUCGCCACCGGCGUUCCUUCCGAUAUCAACGCAUUUCACCGCUCCACCGGAAGUUCCCCCUGCCCCUACCUCGCUCAAGCUUCGCAGUAUCGGGGGCCCUUUUCCGGUUAAGCCGAAAGAUUUCACCCCCGACUGGCGAAGCCGCCUACGCGCCCUUUAAGCCCAGUGAUUCCGAACAACGUUCGCACGGUUCGUCUUACCGCGGCUGCUGGCAC